UGCUGAGUGCGAUCGUCAAGGAUGCGGCGAUAAUGUGUGGGUUUAAAUGGAGUCUCCGGCGCCUGAAGCUCACUCAGCCGCUCGGGGAGGUGACGGACAACGGCGCAGAUGCCUCGGGAGCUCCCCCGCACCGCUGCGACCCCCUUUCCCUGUCAGGCCAUUAUCGUUUUCCUCCUCCUACACUCCGGAUCGUCAGCACAGCCGCGAAGUCGCUCUGCGGAUGCCCAGGCGGGAAGGCCGGGUACCCGGCUCCGGCCUACUCCACGCCCAGGGUCCGAGGCCGAGACCGCUUGGGGCAGGAUGAAGGUUUCGAACAGCGUCCGGCCCUACUCCCUCAGCCUGAGCGACCACCAUUACCGUUACUCACCGAGACCGAAGCAACUCGACCCGAAGAGGCUCCGGAAGCUCCUCGGUCCCUCCUUCGACCCCUUCUGGAUGUCGGUUACGGGUCGCCAUGGGAACGAGAGUGAGCGCGGCCACCUGCUGCAACUGAGCGGCGAGCUCGCGGCCGCGGCACUGCGGCUGCGCGGGAAGCUCUGGCACGAGGCUCAGCGGUUGGAGCCGGCCGCCGUGGCCAGCGAGGCGGAUAAGGCCCAGUGGAGGCGCUGGCUGGUGCGCGAGGCUGUCUGUCCCCUCACGUCCCAGUGGGUGGACCUGGGAGCCAUUUUCUGGCCGAGGUGGGUGAGGCACACCGACUGCGACAGGGGCCGGGCCAGCUGUUUCUGGCCCCCGGGCAUGAGCUGCACACAAGCCGAGUGGGCACACAUCAAGCUGCUGGUGUGGCACUGCUGGACGGUGAAGGAACGAGGGAGGGUAUCGCAGCAGUGCACCUGGAGGCAGGUACCUUACCCUGUAGUGACCGCUUGCAAGUGCUCCUGUCGGUGAACCCUUCUGGCUGUUCAUCCUCCCUUUUCAACCAUCGUGCAGACCCCCUCCCCCUGCCAGGGAGGGCUAUUUCCCACCUGCAAUUAGAGCAGGGAACCCUGUAAACUUGUCUUUGACAUGAUCACAAGGUCAUUGGACUGAAACUUUUUCUCUACUCUCAGCCCAGAACAAGGCAAGAGGACAGAACCUUAAAAUUCGAGCCAGGCCAUUCGAGGGUGAUGCCAGGAAGCAUUUUUCAUACAGAGGUUUUGAUCCUCAAAGUUCGGAGCCAUGGGGAUGGAUCAGGGGAGAGGAAUUCUCAUUUCAAAGAGCUUGUUCAACAGCGACUGCUGAGGAAUAGAUUCUCAGGAUCACAGAUGAUUGCAGUGUAAAAGAAGGCUUAUGGCCCAUCAUGUCUACAGUGGCAAUCUGAAUGAUCAUCUCACUUAGUACCACUCUGCUGCCUUCUCCCUGUAACCAGUACAUUCUUUUUUCAAACACCUGUCUAAUUCCCUUCUGAGUGCCUCAGUUGAACUCCAUGUACAAUAUGAUUCUGGGAUGGGUGAGUGCAGUGGGCGAUAUUUGACUGAAACCUCCAGGAAUAUGUCCAACCAAAGUUGGGAACUCACAUUGCAAAGCCUCCUGACAUGUUUGAUGGUGAAUACAGUCUUGUAAGAACGUGAGAGUGAGGAGAGGCAAGGUUUCCUGAAUCUGCUCUGUCAUUUAAUAAGAUCUUGGCUAAUCUGACUGUGGUCUCAACUUCACUUUCCUGUCUGGCUUCUUUGUCAAUCAAAUAUCUAUCACGCAUUAUAUUAGUGCGUUGAGAUUGUUAAAAAAGGGACAAAUAUCAUUAAUUUUAGUGAGAAAGAGAGGAUCUGUUCCUUAACAACGACAAAUCAGGAUCAUGCUCCUCAUGGUAACCGUAGCAAGAGUUUGAUGUAUAGGGUGACCUUGAUUAUGUCCAUAACCAUGAGACCUGUAGAUUGAUAGGAUCAAUAGAGAGAAACUCCUUUCUGCUGGAGGGCACAUGAAAAGGGGAUAUAAUUGUAAAAGCAAGUUCCAAGCCAUGAAGUAAAAACGUUUUGUUUACACAAUGAGGUGGAAUUGUGAAAGCCCUUCACUUCAAGCAGUCAUACGACUUCAAACAAUCAUUUUAAAUCUGCAAUUGAUUUUCUUUUGCUGGGUGGCAUAUUAUGAAUAGAGAGCCUUAAAAUACAGAUAAGUCAUGAUCUCAGUGAAUGGCAGAACUCCUCCUGUUGCUGUAGUCCAUUAUGUACUCUCUUAUCAAUAUGCAACAUUUGACUAAUACUGCCUAAUGAUUUAUAAAGUAUUUAGACCUCA